AUACGGAGGGUGCGAGCGUUGUUCGGAAUUAUUGGGCGUAAAGAGCAUGUAGGCGGUCUGUUAAGUCUGGUGUGAACGCCCGGGGCUCAACCCCGGAAGUGCAUUGGAUACUGGCAGACUUGAGUAUGGGAGAGGAAAGCGGAAUUCCGAGUGUAGGAGUGAAAUCCGUAGAUAUUCGGAGGAACACCAGUGGCGAAGGCGGCUUUCUGGACCAAUACUGACGCUGAGAUGCGAAAGCGUGGGGAGCAAACAGGAUUAGAAACCCGAGUAGUCC
rnacentral:rRNA from 1 species